rnacentral:rRNA from 1 species
AUUGAACGCUGGCGGCAUGCCUUACACAUGCAAGCCGAACGGCAGCACGGGAGCAAUCCUGGGGCGAGUGGCGAACGGGUGCGUAAAGUAUCGGAACGUGCCCAGUCGUGGGGGCUAACGUAGCGAAAGUUACGCUAAUACCGCAUACGGUCUAUGGAUGAAAGCGGGGGAUCGCAAGACAUCGCGCGAUUGAAGCGGCCGAUAUCAGAUUAGGUAGUUGGUGUGGUAAAGGCUCACCAAGACGACGAUCGGUCUCUGGUCUGAGAGGACAGCCAGCCCCACUGGGACUUAGACACGGCCCAGAGUGCUACGGGAGGAAGCAGUGGGGAAUUUUGGACAGUAGGCGACAGCCUGAUCAUGCCAUGCCGCGGCCACGAUGACGGCCUUCGGGUUGUAAACUGCUUUUGUACGGAACGAAAAGGUUUGGCCUAAUAAGCUGAGCUCAUGACGGUACCGUAAGAAUAAGCACCGGCUAACUACGUGCCAGCAGCCGCAGUAA